UGCAACUUGGUCAGUUGUGAAGUCACAACUGACAAAAAUAAGAGCUACAGACGGGCUACUAGUGAUGAUACCUCCGAAAGCCGGCGAUCAGUGAUUAAAGGGGGCUGUAUCAACGGCGAGAUGCGCACACCUACAGGGGAAUGUGUAAAGGUUGAAUAAAUUGAAGGCGAUGUCCUCCUUGACUACUUGUUGAUCCUUUACCCAAUUUUUGAAAAUAAAAUGCCUUGAAAGAAA